rnacentral:rRNA from 1 species
UACGUAGGGUGCAAGCGUUGUCCGGAUUUAUUGGGCGUAAAGGGCCCGUAGGCGGUUCGACAAGUCGGGGUGUGAAACCUCCAGCUCAACCUGGAGUCGCCACUCGAAACUGUUGUGACUAGAGUCCGGUAGGGGAGCAUGGAAUUCCUGGUGUAGCGGUGGAAUGCGCAGAUAUCAGGAGGAACACCGGUGGCGAAGGC